rnacentral:tRNA from 1 species
GGUGAGGUGGCCGAGAGGCUUAAGGCGGCAGGUUGCUAACCUGUUGUAUGGCUUUAAAACCGUACCGUGGGUUCAAAUCCCACCCUCACCG